UUGUUAAAUGAGUGAGAUUUCAUUUUCUCAUUGUCUUAUUUUAUUAUGUGCAGUAUUUAAUUUUACCAUAGUGAUGGCUUUUUAAAAGUCACUUUGGAAAGAUUUUUUUAGUUAAAUUUUCCUGAGAAAGGAUUGAUUUUUUUUUCCUGUGCUUUUUAACCCAGUAUUCUAUGUAUGAACUUUAUACUUUUUAACCCCAAUAAUUAGACUAAUAAGAUAUGUAAUAAAGUGUCUCAUACGUAUGUAUGUGUAUUUGGUUAUACUAAGGCGUUUACUCAGGGCCUCACACUUGCUAAAUAGGCACUCUUCCUCUUGAGCCAUCUCUCCAUUCCCCUUUUGCAUAAGCUGUUUUCAAGAUUGAGUCUCUUUCACUUUAUGCUUGGCCAUCCUAGACUUCCUACUUGUGCUUCCUCAGGGAACUGAGAGUGACAGGCACUUAGCCACUGAUUAAGAUAGUGUUUCAUGAACUUUCUUUCCUGGGCUGGCCUUGAACUAACCCUCUGACCUCUGCCUCACAAGUAACUAGGAUUACAGGCAUAUGCCCCUAUGUUGUUUUUAUUUUUGUUUAAAUACUUUGUGAUCUCAAAGAACCUCUUAGUCCAUCAUAAAUGUUAAUGUUGAGUUAACUGAACGUUAACAUUUAUCAGACAAUAGUUUAUACUUUAAUUUCAUUAUAUUUUAUAGUAAGUCAUUAUGCCAGUGUUAGGUUAAUUACUUGAAUCCUAGACCUAGGUGCUUGAAGAAUUUCCAUUUUGAAAUGCAUCAGUCAUUAUUCACUGCACUUUUUGAUCUCCUUUGAAAAAUAUCUACCAUUUUUUUUUAAUUAGUUCUCUAAAUGGAAGAGAACCUCUUUUUUCUUUGCUGUGGGCUGGCCUGGUAUACAUGGCAGCAUUUCAUUUGUAUCUAGGACUCAUGGUUGGAUUUCAAAUGUGCCCUCUAUAGUCCAGCACCAUUUGAAACUUACUCAUUUUCUGAUGUCUUAAGCAGCUUGAUUUAUUGAUGUAGCAAUUAUUGCAGUUGUACCAUUUUAAUUCCCUCCAUCAUCUUCUCCCUUCAUUUGGGAUGAUAUGCAGGAUGACAUUUGAUGUCCCAGUGAGUACCGUAAGAGAAUGUUGAAGAGCUAUGUAGGGACCAUUCCUCACACAGAAUCCAGCCAGCUGUCAGGUUGUCCUUAAUCAGAGUGUGGUAGUGUAGGUACAUCCUCAUUUUCAUCAUAGCAUUACUUUUAGAAUGUGUCAUUUAAAAACUAUAAAACCAAAUAUUUAAAAACACUCUGUUUGCUUUGCUGAGCCUUGCCGUUGAUUUUGUUAUUUUAUGGACUGCUAUAGAAGAGUCUAUUGUUAAUCACGUCCUAACCCUAUAAAAUAUGUAACAAGCUGCUGAGCAGAAAGAUGACAGUAGACAGAGAACAGAGUUUCAUUUGAAUUCAUGCAAAUGCAGAGGUUUCCAGAAAGCCAUUUUUAAAGCCACAUUUUGGAAAUAAAACAAAGAAUAACACGUUGGAGUAGAAAUCUGUAAUGAAACCCAUAAUAGCUGAAAGAAUACAAUAAAUUCUGCAGGGAGAGUUUUUCAUUUUCUGUUCCUUUUCAAAUUCUAAUACUAAACUCUAUUAGUAGUCUGUAGAAAAUGAUGAGACAUGAAGCUUUGCUGGUGUAUAACUAUUACUAAUCUGUUACUUUGCAUAAAUUUUCACUCAAAUGAUUGUCUGUGGUCUUCUUAUAAAGGACAUGUUAUAUGCUUGCCAAAUAAACAGAUGAGACCUAUUAACUAUCUUCUUAGAACCAAAUAGUACUGGAAUUUGUAGACAUUGGCAUUUUUAAACAUGGGGCAAAGAGAAGGGUCAAAUUCAAGGAACACAGUAUAUUAGUGCCAGUUCAGAUAUCUUCCAUCUUGAGUGAAUUGACACCCCUUCACAUGAAGGAAAGCCCCUUUUUUAUGCUUAUUUUAAGGAUGGUGGUGGAAGUGGUUUAAUCUCUACAAAUAGGUUACAUCCUUGUUUUACUUCUAAUAAUUCUAACAGCUGAUCAUUUCCUCCUCUAUAAACUUUGUCUUCCCAAUUUCAGCUUAUGAAACCCUUUUUAUUUCUUGGACACAUAGACUUAUAAUUUAAAUUAUCUUUGAUUCUUUUCUUUUCCUUCAAAUAUUUAAGAUACUGCCAAGUUCUUUUGAUUCAUCUUUCAUAAUUUCUCUUAUAUCCAUCUCUUCUUCCAUUCCCAUUGCCAGAAUCCCAGUACAGAACAGUAUGGCCUCAUGCCUAAAUUAUUAACAUGUUUAAUUGGUUUCCCAACCUCUUGUUCAUUCACUUCCAAUUUGUCCUGACCACCACCACUUGAUUUAUCUUACUAAAGCAUGGCUUUUUUAAACUUAGCAAUUUGAAACUUUGGAAAUAUUUGAAAUAAGAGUUGAGUCAUUUUUAAAAGACAGCACAAUAUAAUGGUAUAUUGACUCCAGAACCAAAUAGUUAAGAUGUGGGAUUCCAGAUUAGUCCCUUUGUUGAUGGCUUGACCUUAGGGAGAGAAUUGCUUGACCUUUUGGGGCUUUAGGGUCCUCAUUUGAUAGUAGGGAGAAUGAAAUACUUGUUGUUAUGAGAAAUAUUACAAUAUGUAAAAUACAUGGGUUAGUGGGUUUGAUGGAUGACAGUUAUUAUCAGUAGUCUGGAGGACAAAAUAGAGAACUGGACCAGAGCUAGGAAAGGAAAGGGAUGUGGGGAAAUGCUUUGG